AGGGAAUCUUCGGCAAUGGACGGAAGUCUGACCGAGCAACGCCGCGUGAGUGAAGAAGGUUUUCGGAUCGUAAAGCUCUGUUGUAAGAGAAGAACGAGUGUGAGAGUGGAAAGUUCACACUGUGACGGUAUCUUACCAGAAAGGGACGGCUAACUACGUGCCAGCAGCCGCGGUAAUACGUAGGUCCCGAGCGUUGUCCGGAUUUAUUGGGCGUAAAGCGAGCGCAGGCGGUUAGAUAAGUCUGAAGUUAAAGGCUGUGGCUUAACCAUAGUACGCUUUGGAAACUGUUUAACUUGAGUGCAAGAGGGGAGAGUGGAAUUCCAUGUGUAGCGGUGAAAUGCGUAGAUAUAUGGAGGAACACCGGUGGCGAAAGCGGCUCUCUGGCUUGUAACUGACGCUGAGGCUCGAAAGCGUGGGGAGCAAACAGGAUUAGAUACCCUGGUAGUCCACGCCGUAAACGAUGAGUGCUAGGUGUUAGACCUUUUCCGGGGUUUAGUGCCGCAGCUAACGCAUUAAGCACUCCGCCUGGGGAGUACGGCCGCAAGGUUA
rnacentral:rRNA from 1 species